rnacentral:rRNA from 1 species
AGAGUUUGAUCCUGGCUCAGGACGAACGCUGGCGGCGCGCCUAACACAUGCAAGUCGAACGAGAGAGAGGGAGCUUGCUUCCUUGAUCGAGUGGCGAACGGGUGAGUAACGCGUGAGGAACCUGCCUCAAAGAGGGGGACAACGAGUUGGAAACGACUGCUAAUACCGCAUAAGCCCACGACCCGGCAUCGGGAAGAGGGAAAAGGAGCAAUCCGCUUUGAGAUGGCCUCGCGUCCGAUUAGCUAGUUGGUGAGGUAACGGCCCACCAAGGCGACGAUCGGUAGCCGGACUGAGAGGUUGAACGGCCACAUUGGGACUGAGACACGGCCCAGACUCUACGGGAGCA